GGAUGUGGCUCAAGCGGUUAGCGCGCUAGCCUGGCAUGCGUGGGGCACUGGGUUUGAUCCUCAGCACCA
rnacentral:tRNA from 1 species